ACAAAUUUAAUGCGAAAUCAAAAUAAUAAAGUUAGGGUUUACAUUCCUUACACAAUGAUAUAGAAUACCCAAUAGGGUUACGAAAAUGACCCUCCUAAAAGAACAACGAAAAAUCAAAGAAAUAAAUGGAAAGUAAACAUCUGGGCAUCCUAUUUGCAACCCUUUUGUGGAUUGGAUCUGGAUCUUGGUCCUCUUGAUCUGAAAUAGUUAAUGAAAGAAUGAGUUACACUAGUCAAGU
rnacentral:lncRNA from 1 species